ensembl:lncRNA MIR924HG MIR924 host gene
GUGGAACUUGGGAUUCGAACGGCAGGCGGGAAGUGCUCUAGCAGGGGAGUCUGACCUUGUGAGGGAAUACCUGUGUCCCCCCUUUUUUCCCCUUUUUACCCAAUAAAACCCUGCCUUACUCACCCUUUAAAUCAUCUGCGAGCCUGAAUUUUCAUGGCCGUGGGACGGACAAGAACUUUAUCUUCAGCUGAACUAAGAAAAAGUCCUGCAACAUUUUUGGCGCGCAAUGUGGGGGCACCAGAAGCGGGCACCGUUGAGCUGUUGCAACUGUUCUGCUGGAGCCUUAUGUAUGUGGUUGAAACCACCUGUACUACUGGAAUGAAAGCACCUUUACAGAAGAGGCAAUGCAAGUUGUAUUCAUCACAUGUGUAGAAUGAAUUAAGAUUUAUGCCAGUUGCAAAGAAGAAUAUUGGCUCACUAUUUUUCCUCUGGGCAUGUGGAAAUGUAAAUCAGUCCAUGUUACUCACCUCGGAGAAGCAGAAGUACGAUUUACUAUUGUUGCUUGCUUACUUACUCUUAUCAAUUUCUAUGAGAGAGUUGUACUGCGACAUUAGCUCUUUUGACUAGAUGUGAUGACAGACUGUCUUUGGUCCAUUCUCUUUUAUUGCCUUGGAAGAGAAUAAAUGAGGAGUAGUUCUCACCCAUUGCAGCUGAGGCAUCACACCUGUAAUGGGAUUAACAAGAUGAUAAUAUAUCUUUUGCCAAGACCACAUACUAGCAGCCUCCACAUAAAGUUGUGUAGGUGCAGCAGUCUCAAUGAAAGAUUAAGGACAUUGCCACAAAAGGAAAUUAAACUACGUGAGGAAGAUAAUUUUGAAUGUCUACCGACAGAAAAAUAUGCCCAAGAUUAGGAAAUGGUCAAAAAGGCUUACUGUAUUUUCUUUCACUGGAGUGUUGGACAUUGUCUAACAGAUCCUUCAGGGGUCUGAACCUGUCAGGAUGUAUACCUUUGAUUGUCUUUCUGUUGAAGGUGCUACAUUAUAAUUCUGUAGGGGAAGAAGUGAAGUAGUAGAACACUGAUAUUACUACAAAUUAUUCUCGUUCUUAAGAAUACAAAUAAUUUUUGUCAAGUAAAGAUAUAAUUGAUUUCUAUCCUGUAGAAAAGAUGAGUCUAAACAUCACAUUGUAUUGUCCUAUAGAUUAUUAAUAUGUUUUACAUCUAUUAGCAAAUUCAUUCAUUAUUGCUGAUUAUAUAUCUAUAUAUGGCUGUUUUUCUACUAUUUAUUUCAACUGACUUUAAUAUCUUACUGGCUUCUCAUUAAUUAGUGAGAUGAAUAAAAUGUUUGCAACAUGU